AGGAGAAUAGGGAAUUAGGGUAACCAAGGGUUAAGGCAUAAGCAAAGGAACAGCAGGUGCAGCCAGUUCUAGGCAAGAUUAGGCAGCAUACAGGCCACAACCUCACUCCUGUGAUAACAAAACGGAAGUUUCCACUUCAGCCUCUGAUUGGUUGGGGGCCCAUCCAUCAUAGCGGGUAACCAAUUGGAGGCCUCUAAAGGGAAUCUAGGGGUGUUACCAAAUUAUUUCAGCUUAACAAAAACCCCAAAGAACAUUCUAAAUGGGGCUCUUGAGCUGCUUCGUUGAUCGAGCCAACUCUCACUCUAUAGAGUGUACUUUCACUUCAAUAAACCUGCACUUUCGUUGCUUCCUUCCUUUGUUGCUUUGUGCAUUUUAUUAAAUCCUUUGUCCAACACGCCAAGAACCUGGACAACUCACAGUCACGACUUCCUAUCUGGUAACACUCAUUCCUUUGCAAAAUGUUUCUUGAUCUCUGUUAAAAGGCAAGUACAUGGUAAGGUGCUCUUAUUCAUGUACUCCUCCAGGUGAAUGAUUUGAUGUCUUCCCUUCCUAAAACCAGGUUUUUAUGGGAGAGGAAGAAGUGGGGAGUAUGAAGACCCCAGGAAAAGAGUUUUUAAAGAGGAGGAGAUCCAAUUUCACACCUUUGAGUAGUCCAGCUCUGGAAUCCAGUACAGGAUUUUUGGAAGAUUCACCAAGAUCCAUCUUUCCUUUUCCUGCUAUUCUUUCCAAAUAGGUAAAGAAGUAGCUGAGGGAAACGCAGCUUUGUGAGGGAAGCCUGGAGCGUGAGAAAUCUGCUCACACUGGAUUCUGCCUCGGGCUCGACAGAAUGUCACAGCAGACCCGCGAUGUGACAGGCUCACUGGUGUACACACGGCUGUGUCGGCCAUGGCCCUGUCAGAUUACCUGGCACUUGUCCAGUCUUUCUGCAGUCAACAUCGCCCAGAUUCCAUGCAGAACCCUUUGCAGACUCCUGAGGAGGUACAGACAAGGAGUGUCCCUGUCCUCAUGGUGCUACAUGAAAAGGUGCUGGGUAGAGAAAGAGGUACAGUGGAACUUGCCAAAUGUCCUCGCCGUGCAACCUCUUGCAGAGGGCCAUGUGUGAUCUUCAGAUCCCAAGAUUUUCUUGAUAUUUAUAAAAGCACCUUUGCCUCCAUUCCCAAACUGAAUUCUCCAUCCCUGGGCUCCAUCUUGAAGGGAAAUGAUCACAGCUGUGGCGAUUGUGUGUCUCCUACUGGUGAGAGCUGGUAACUACAGCAUCUAAUUGGCCGUUUUCCAGACCUCUGCAGGGGAUCAGGACAGCAUAGUGUGUCCUCUGUCUUGAGAAGUUCGCAUCCAGCUCUGCCAUGGACCAGCCAUGCUCAUGGAUUGCCUCUCAUUUUGCUACGGACAGGAGACAGGAAAAUACUGGGUAGAAGAGGGCGGUUCCCGACAAAGGCCCCAACCUCAAGCCUGAAGACCCACGACCCUAAAUGAGGACAGCCAUUUCUGAUUUUGUGCCCAAAAAUUUGCCUUUUGGCCUGCCACACCCAACAUCUUGCCCCUAUAUAAACCCGAGACCUUAGCGGGCACACACACAAUCAGCCAAAUGUUGGGAUUAGCAGACCAGUGGACCAGCGGACCAGCAGACCAGUUAACGGUGGAACAACGCAGCAGAGAAAGAGAGAAGAGGAGGGAUGUCUGAAUGCCAAGGGGAAUUCGGCCGCGGGCAGUUAGAAAAGUCUGGCUGCUGGGCGGCCCGACUCUAGGGGAAGACCACCUUCCCACUCCAUCCCCUGUUCUGGCUCCCCAUCCAUCUCCCUGAGAGCCACCUCUACCACUCAAUAAAACCUUUCAUUCAUCCUUUGAGCCCAUAUGUGAUUUGAUUCUUUCAGGACGCUCAGCAAGAGCUCAGAAUAUAG
rnacentral:lncRNA from 10 species